GUGUCUGUGUGUGUGUUGUGUUUGUGUGUGUCAAACUGUACUAACAAAAAACAGCCUGAAAAUCUGGAGACACUCCAGAGUCUCCGGAAAAACUACACAAGACGCUGAUUUACCAUCAUCACCGUGUACCCCUGUGUGGGCACCACAUUCCUGCCUUUUUCUAUCACUUUUUGAGAUCUGAAAAUCUGAAAAGAAGACGGACGUUGUACACCCAGAGAACAGAAGAUGUUUGGAAGGAUUUAUAUCUGAGCUGCCACGCCUUAGGAGAGCAGCGGAGACAAUUUACUUAUUGCUGUUCAAGGAUUAAAGGCUUAAGAACACAAUCAAUCCAUUUUAGACUUACAGGAACUCGGAGUCUGAACCAAGUAGUGCAAGAGCUGUGUAAGGAAAAUACACCUUUUCACCUGGAAGUUGACUAAAACUCCAUUUACAACAAACAAGAAACACUGAAGAUGCCUGCACGUCGUUUUGACUACCCUAAAGGAAUGGAGGAUGAGGAAAAAAAGAAAAUAUUCAAACAUAAAACUCUGAUGAAAAACCCAGAGAUUCUCUAUGAAGACACAUAUCAAACUGGUAUAAGAUGCAACCUCAUUUUCUUCACCCGAUCUGGAGCAGACUACAGGGCUGCAAUAGAAGAUGCGUACCCUCAAUCCAAGGAUAUUCAAAUGGCCAACAAACUCAAACUUGAGCUCUCUGAUGGAGGCACUGUGUCCAUAUUUCCCAGUGGAAAGAUUUUAAUUCAAGGUACAGAAGAAAACCUUGAUGCAUUUGAGAAAAUGUUUAACAAAAUUCAACAAGAUGUAGACGCAAGAAAAGAAGAACAGAUGAUGAAAACAUUACAGCAAAUGAAAGUUGAAGAAUCUGAUUCUGAAACAGAAGGACGAGACAAACAGAAACAGUCUAAAUAAAAUGUGAUACAAAUAAGAAAAAGCAGGAAACAGCAAAACAAUAUGGGCAUUUGAACUGUUAAUAAGUGAAUAUUAAAGUUUUUGUUCUGUGUGUUUAAAAAUUACUAGAUAUUUUAGCCUGAUUUUCAAUACUUUUAUAAUCUUUAUUCUCUUCUAAAUUCUGCUGUUCAUUAGAUAUAUUAUUGUUUUACAAUGAUGUCAUGAAAAAGUAAGUAUGUUAUAUUAUAUAUUACAAAUAUGAAUGUCUUUCAGUCUGUAGGUUUGAAGAAUUAUAGUUUUGUACCCACUGAGGUCCGUCUCAUAUCUGAAGGUCAGUUUUCCACAGAGAUGAAUGAGAUUUAAUCUUCAGCCACUCAAAUUAAGAUGUCACAACAUCAGCAUUCAGGUACAUGUCCUGCAGAUCAGUUAGGUUAAGAUAAAACAUGAGAUAUUAUUUUAUAUUUUAUUGAUUUUGCUUUGCCUUUGCUAAGUUAUAUAAAUAAAAUAUUAUGCAUACAAAAGUC